UAGACACAAAGGUAGACAUAAAGGUAGACAUAAAGGUAGACAUAACGGUAGAUAAAAAGGUAGACACAAAGGUAAACA